UUUGGUCUACAGAUUACAAUACCAACGCCAGAGCCCAAACCAGUAAAGAAUUAGGAGCGAGAAUCAUCUCUACCCACGAAGUCUGUAGUUUCUACAUGGAACCUGGUUCUCUUGCCAAAGAACUUGCUCUCCAAGACAGAUCUGUACGCAGCAGAGAGCCCUUUUGCGAGCCCUGAGGAGCCUGUGUUCUUCCCAAAUGAAAGACCGUCCCCCACACCCUGGGGUGGGCCAUAGACACAAGCAGAUGCUACAUCUGAAUAUUCAAUGUGACAUAUUCUGGAGAGAUGAUCGGUGAUCAAUGAUGUGCCUCAUGGGGGUUAUUGUGGCUUCAUCUCAUUCGCGUGACUUCUAGCUACCAUCUUCCUUCUCUCCCAGAUACGGUGUAAAAGACUACACAGGAGUCCUUUGCAAGCGCAGAGAUCUGCUUUGUCUUGCUGCCCCCCCAGACUACCUCAUAUGUAAGUUCCUCUUGCGUAAAUC